rnacentral:lncRNA from 1 species
GAGAGCAGGUCCCUCUCAUCACCUAACUGAGGUGGGCUUAAUACUUUCAAUUUCAAGGAUGCUCAUCAUUAUGUUCAAUGUGUAGCAAUGAUUGACUGUUACUCGGGCUUUAGAUCUUUGGUGAUUGUUGGCCAAAGAGCGUAUCAUCAGUAGGCGAGGCUGACAGCGGCCAGGUGCUCGCCUGCUUUGAAAGCAGGGCCGGGGUGCCCAGCCGCUGUGAUAUUUUAUAGUGGGCUUGAAGAGAGUAGUAUUCCCCCGGAAAGAGGACUAAAAUCCUUUCUUUUUUUGAGAGUUCUAAAGAAAAACAUACAGGCAUAGUUUGAACCCACCAAUUGUGAUGUUUUAAAUAUUAAUUCUGUAACUCUGAGGGAAAUUCAUUUUUACAACCAUUAUUCUAAGAAAGUGCGGCAGAGUGACAGUGAGCAUGUAGACACGAGGGGGAGCAUAUGUUUAUAAGGGA